rnacentral:rRNA from 1 species
UAGUCCGCACGAGCGCACCCCUGUCCUUAGUUGCCAUCAUUUAGUUGGGCACUCUAAGGAGACUGCCGGUGACAAACCGGAGGAAGGUGGGGAUGACGUCAAGUCAUCAUGGCCCUUAUGGCCAGGGCUACACACGUGCUACAAUGGACGGUACAAAGGGUUGCUAACUCGCGAGAGUGUGCUAAUCCCAUAAAGCUGUUCGUAGUCCGGAUCGCAGUCUGCAACUCGACUGCGUGAAGUCGGAAUCGCUAGUAAUCGCGGAUCAGAAUGCCGCGGUGAAUACGUUCCCGGGCCUU